AAAAUGGCUCCUUUCGGAGCCACUUUUUUUAGAUAACUGUUUUCAG
rfam:Vibrio sp. JCM 19231 DNA, contig00009.